UGAAAUUAGAGAAAACAAAAACGUGACCUAUCUCAAACACAGCUGUACUUCCAAGUCUUUAGUUCGUUUGUGCUAAACCAUUAGACAUUUGCUCUGAGCUUCUCAGCAUACGAUCACAUUUUCCGCCUGCAAUGAAUGCCGAGAUGAUGCAGCAGGUUUAACAUGCUACACUUGAAGCUGAAGGUGACCUAGAGUAAACUUCGGUCAUGAAAAUAGUAAAUUGUCUGCCCAGAGGCAUUCCUGUCUACCUUUGAAGUAUGACCUUGACAUGGGCAUGCUUAAUAUGUGCCUACUUCAACAUGCGAUGGUAGUGCUCAGUUUCUAUAUGAACAGGUGUAAGAAAAAGCGCUUCACUUCAACCAAUACUUUUUAAUGUAGUACUAGUAUUUGCAAACAUUUAUACGUGAUUUUUCUUCACUACCUGAAUUUCCACAUGUUCUCUGGAUGAAUGACUCUUACAGCAUGGCCACAGACACCAGGAAAAGGCAUUUGUCCAGGAAUUAUGUCAGGGUAUUUUGUUUAAUUGUUGCAUUUUGGUUCUAGUAACAGCAAUGUUAUA